UGUCUUCCUAACUCAGAGUGUGCCACCUAAGGAGAAGCAGAUGAAUUGAAGGAGCCAGAGGCAACACAGUUUUCUCUGUCUAUGGCCUCUAUCAAGAUAAAACCACAGGCUAUUUGGAAAGAAGGUGGCUUAAGCAUAAGAAAACUGGUUUCCGGUGAGCCACCAUCUGCCCAUCCUCUACAACCAUGUCCAGCUGUUAUCUCCAGAAGUCUUUCGUCAGACUGUCACUGUG